GACAUGGGGAACGCGAUCUCCCCACGAGGCGACAGGCUGAAGAAUCGCGUCCUGCUUCUUGGAAGGACGCAUCAUG
rfam:Sphingobium sp. SYK-6 DNA, complete genome.